rnacentral:lncRNA from 1 species
GAUGAGGAAUAGCGAAGGUCAAGUUGAUACAGAUGUAUGGUCAUAAUUAAUUGAUUGAAGUAAAAUAAGCCGUUGUAAAUCAGUUGUAUUCAAAUUGUAGCAACAUCGGAAUCUAUAUUAUGGCAAAGUGUCGGUAUAUAAGUUUAUUACUAUUUAUUUUCAAUCAAGGUAAGACAAGGGUCAAAACUGCAUUGGUUCUAACUAUGAAAGUCAUAACAGUUCCUGCAGAAAUAGCUGUUAUAACACCGUUAUGUAAAAAAUGUCACAUUAAACAAACGACUGCUCUGGUAAGAACUUUUGGUUUAGUUGUCAAGUAUAUUUUGCGGUAUGUGUGUUCCACACAUUUGAUGUCUACUUUAUCAAGAUAUUCCAGCAUACAUAAUAAAAGUAAUUCUUACUUAUCAUUUUUAGUAAAAGAUUUAGACAGUUAUGCUAAGUUAUUAUUCGAGUGUGAUCAAAU